AGUGAACGCUGGCGGUAGGCCUAACACAUGCAAGUCGAACGGCAGCACAGUAAGAGCUUGCUCUUACGGGUUGCGAGUGGCGGACGUGUGAGGAAUACAUCGUAAUCUACUUUUUCGUGGGGGAUAACGUAGGGAAACUUACUCUAAUACCGCAUACGACCUACGGGUGAAAGCAUGGGAUCUUCGGACCUUGCGCGAUUGAAUGAGCCGAUGUCGGAUUAGCUAGUUGGCGGGGUAAAGGCCCACCAAGGCGACGAUCCGUAGCUGGUCUGAGAGGAUGAUCAGCCACACUGGAACUGAGACACGGUCCAGACUCCUACGGGAGGCAGCAGUGGGGAAUAUUGGACAAUGGGCGCAAGCCUGAUCCAGCCAUACCGCGUGGGUGAAGAAGGCCUUCGGGUUGUAAAGCCCUUUUGUUGGGAAAGAAAAGCAGCAGGUUAAUACCCCGCUGUUCUGACGGUACCCAAAGAAUAAGCACCGGCUAACUUCGUG
rnacentral:rRNA from 1 species